rnacentral:rRNA from 1 species
AACGAACGCUGGCGGCAUGCCUAACACAUGCAAGUCGAACGAGACCUUCGGGUCUAGUGGCGCACGGGUGCGUAACGCAUGGGAACCUGCCCUUAGGUUCGGAAUAACUCCCCGAAAGGGGUGCUAAUACCGGAUAAUGUCUUCGGACCAAAGAUUUAUCGCCUUUGGAUGGGCCCGCGUUGGAUUAGCUAGUUGGUAGGGUAAAAGCCUACCAAGGCGACGAUCCAUAGCUGGUCUGAGAGGAUGAUCAGCCACACUGGGACUGAGACACGGCCCAGACUCCUACGGGAAGCAGCAGUGGGGAAUAUUGGACAAUGGGCGAAAGCCUGAUCCAGCAAUGCCGCGUGAGUGAUGAAGGCCUUAGGGUUGUAAAGCUCUUUUACCCGGGAUGAUAAUGACAGUACCGGGAGAAUAAGCGCCGGCUAACUCCGUG